CUCACAAGUGAAUCUCCUCUGUGUUGAAAAUCAACUAUUAUGGGGGUUUGUCUUCCCAGUGUGGAUCUUCUGUGCCUGGAGUACCUGGUGUGGGAUCUGCUCCUCUCCCUUUACCAUGCUUGCCUUGUCCCUCCCUCCCAUGGAUGCCUCACAGAAUUCCAUCACUAUUGGUUUCCUGCAUCAGCCUUUUCAAGGAAGUAAUUUUGUACUAAGUGUCUGUGUCUUUAAUGCCUACCACAAUGUUUAACACCUAUAAAAUGGUUCAAUAAAAGUGAUUCAAUAAAAGUAUACUGAUUGAGUGCAACAAAAAGAACACUUGCUUUUUCAUGGAGUAAU
rnacentral:lncRNA from 1 species